CUCAUCUCCAAACUCUUGCCCCAUUGUGUAAGUCUCCUUUCAGUAAGACCAAACACACCUGGAAUUCUAUUAGUUUCUUCUUUUUAGAGGCAUCUCUUCUGGGGAAUUUCUCCAAUCUGUAUGAUUGCUCUGUAGGCCUGCUGCACAUCUAUAACCUGGGAUCUGCCUUCACCUUCAUUCUAGAAAUUUCUCUCUCCUCCCUCUUAUGUGGUAUCACCUGUUUCUUGGAUUCUAUAUCCUUCUCUUUCUUGGUGUCCUGUCUUCAUCGGAAAGAACAUUCUUCUGAAAAAAGAUACCUGAAAGUGGGAACAGUUAGAUCUACAAACCACUACAUCAAGUCUUGAUGUAAUUGAAAUGUUGAGCAAUCACGUAGAAGAUCUGGCCAAUGGAAAUGACUAGCCAAAAACUUCAGGCCAUGGAGGAGUUGGAGGUCAAAGAGGUGCU